UGUAAUUACACUACGAUUGUACUGUAAUUACAUCUGUCAAAUUUUUGCGGAAAAUUUUUUCGACAAAUAUAUAGCAAAAUCGAAUGCUAAAUUAUCAAAAGUAAAAAAAAAGAACUAUUAUCCAAGACAAAAACAACAUGUAGUGACCAAAACUAGGGGAUACAAAGCAAACUAAAUCAAUUAUCCAUGAUUUAAUUACCAUAUUAAGGAGAGAACAUGACAUAUUAUGAGAAAAAGAUACAUACAGAAUUAAAAACAAUAAUUAUUUCAAUGGUUAUACGAUGAGUCAUCAUCGUCAAACAAACUGUUUUUCUCACCUCAAUUUCCUUCCCCCCUUCAGCUCAUCCAACUUGAUAAAUUAUCAAACACAAUCCGCUUUUAUGCCUUUGGAAAACCAAGUUCGCUUAAAAAAAUAAUAACAUGUUAUAAUAAUUCUGAGAAAUAUGGAUAUCCUAUGCGUACAAAAUUUAUAUCUAAUACCGUUAAGUUCUGAUCUAUACAUGGACGGCCCUGGAGGGGGCGAGAGGUGCGGCCGCUCUGGGCCCCCAGAUCGUAGGGGCUCCACCUCCCCCCUCCCCCUUCUGAUGCAACCUCGGCCCCUCGGCCUCGCGCAAAGAAAGCGAACAGAAAGAGAGAAAAUCAGAAGACGCGAUUGAGUAGCGAGAUUGCUGCAGUGCCGCCCACACCCUAACCCCUCAUCUCCUCCUCAUGCGAGUCGUGAUAUCGCGCCAUCGCCGUCCGCUGACACAAGCCCGCAGGCCACAGCCGCCGCUUCUUGCAGUGCAGCUUGCCGCCUUGCCGCUUACGGAUUGCUUCGCUGCGGUAUGUUUUGUGUUCAGAGUUGGACGAACGAAGACCCUGGCUGCACUAUUGUGUUCCCGACUUAUUUAACAUGCACACCGGAUGCUUGUCAUCAAUUAAUUGUCCAUGUCAUCGAGGAAGUAGCGAGAAAAAGGAAAAAAAGAAAAGGUUAAAUGGCUUGGCAACUUUAUGCACUGAGAAGAAAUUAUUGGAUGAAAUUGAUAUUGGUACCAUUAUCACUUACUUUGCAGCUAGAAAUAUCAGAAAAAAUUUUCGAGGUAACAUAUUCAAUGUUUCCUAUACAAAUAUUAUUUAUGAAUGCAAUUUAAAUAUUUAUGACAAUAAUUCAGUAUAUGUAUCUAUUGAUUAUUAUUAUAUCGUAUAUAUGAUAGUGUCAGGGUUACGGGUAAGGUAUACCCUCUACCCCUCGAUAUACGUCACAUGUCGAUAUUGUAUACCUGCGCGUAUACGGAUGUUUUCGGCGUACAUUAAGGAAACUCAUCAUGGAGUUCACAGAUGGAAGGAGUCCUACUCGGACAGAACUGGGUCGUCAUUGUAUCGUGCAGGGUCCGAUGUCUCCGAGUUCUACUUGGAAACCAACUGACCUGCGGUAU